rnacentral:lncRNA from 1 species
AGACAUUCUAGACCUUAAAUACAACAAUUUCAACUUUGAUAAACUUCCUUCUUUCAAAGGCAUAGCGAAUAAGAUCCGAUAAGCAAUAGAAGCACAAAGAAUUCACAAAUUUAACCAGACUAGAUACUUUCAACUUUGAGAAACCUCUUUCAGCUCUUGGACACUUUCUAGACGAAGAUGGCUUCUUAGUUCUGAAAUUUAACGACACUAGAUAAAUUCACAAAUUGAAAAUUGCAGCAUACAGAAUUAAAGAUGGCUGGAUUGAUAAGAUGCUCACCCUGCCGUUGUCUCUUGUCUGCCGAUGCAUUUACACCAAUCAAACGAACCGCCGCCGCCGCAGCAGCCAGCAGCAUGGCUCUGGCGGGCAGGAAGACUUGCAGACUGCCAAAUGCAUUUUCACCAAUCCAGGACUGAAGGAAGGAGAGCGCAGGCGGCAGCAGGAGUCAGGAGUCAAUCUUCUUUUUUUUUUUUGAGCGAGGAGUCAGGAGUCAAUCGAUCGGGAUUGAAAUUGCAGUCUUGCAGACGAGGUUUGGGCCAGCCCAUGUACGUAUAGUUGUAUACCAGGCCAAUGCAUGUAUAACAGGGUAGGGGGCUCUCUAAAAUUCGAGGCCCUGUGCGUGCACCCCCAGGGCCGGGCCUGGGAAAUUGCAGACGAGGUUUGGGCCAGCCCGACCUUACUGUAGCCUUGAGCUGCAGCAACUGCUCCGUGUGGGCUUACCUUGCAGGGAAGAGAUGGCCUAGGGGAAAUAUGAAAAAGAAAAGAGAGAGAUGGGCUUUGGCCUGGAAAGAAAAGGGCAAAAGAGAAUGAGAGGUAGAGUAGGGAGAAGUUGGGCCU